rnacentral:rRNA from 1 species
UACGGGGGGGGCAAGCGUUGUUCGGAAUUACUGGGCGUAAAGGGCUCGUAGGUGGCCAACUAAGUCGGACGUGAAAUCCCUCGGCUUAACCGGGGAACUGCGUCCGAUACUGGAUGGCUUGAGUUUGGGAGAGGGAUGCGGAAUUCCAGGUGUAGCGGUGAAAUGCGUAGAUAUCUGGAGGAACACCGGUGGCGAAGGCGGCAUCCUGGACCAACACUGACACUGAGGAGCGAAAGCGUGGGGAGUAAACAGG